rnacentral:misc_RNA from 1 species
UCCGAGUUGACCCCGGCAGUCUCCCAUGAGUCCCCGCCAUUACGCGCUGGCAACAUGGAACGAGGGUUGCGCUCGUUGCGGGACUUAACCCAACAUCUCACGACACGAGCUGACGACAGCCAUGCACCACCUGCACACCAGCCACAAGGGAACGCCCAUCUCUGGACGCGUCUGGUGCAUGUCAAACCCAGGUAAGGUUCUUCGCGUUGCAUCGAAUUAAACCACGUGCUCCACCGCUUGUGCAGGCCCCCGUCAAUUUCUUUGAGUUUUAACCUUGCGGCCGUACUCCCCAGGCGGAUGACUAAAUGCGUUAGCUGCGCCACCGAAACCCUAAGGGCCCCGACAGCUAGUCAUCAUCGUUUACGGCGUGGACUAC